GUGGGGAAUUUUGGACAAUGGGCGCAAGCCUGAUCCAGCAAUGCCGCGUGCAGGAAGAAGGCCUUCGGGUUGUAAACUGCUUUUGUACGGAACGAAACGGUCCUGGUUAAUACCCGGGGCUAAUGACGGUACCGUAAGAAUAAGCACCGGCUAACUACGUGCCAGCAGCCGCGGUAAUACGUAGGGUGCAAGCGUUAAUCGGAAUUACUGGGCGUAAAGCGUGCGCAGGCGGUGCUGUAAGACAGGCGUGAAAUCCCCGGGCUUAACCUGGGAAUUGCGCUUGUGACUGCAGUGCUGGAGUGCGGCAGAGGGGGAUGGAAUUCCGCUUGUAGCAGUGAAAUGCGUAGAUAUGCGGAGGAACACCGAUGGCGAAGGCAAUCCCCUGGGCCUGCACUGACGCUCAUGCACGAAAGCGUGGGGAGCAAACAGGAUUAGAAACCCGGGUAGUCC
rnacentral:rRNA from 1 species